rnacentral:rRNA from 1 species
UACGGGGGGGGCAAGCGUUGUUCGGAAUUACUGGGCGUAAAGGGCUCGUAGGCGGCCAACUAAGUCGGAUGUGAAAUCCCCAGGCUUAACCUGGGAACUGCAUCCGAUACUGGAUGGCUUGAAUCCGGGAGAGGGAUGCAGAAUUCCAGGUGUAGCGGUGAAAUGCGUAGAUAUCUGGAGGAAUACCGGUGGCGAAGGCGGCAUCCUGGACCGGCAUUGGCGCUGAGUGAGCGAAAGCCAGGGGAGCAAACGGG